rnacentral:rRNA from 1 species
GAUGAACGCUGGCGGCGUGCCUAAUACAUGCAAGUCGAACGAACAGAUGAGGAGCUUGCUCCUCUGACGUUAGCGGCGGACGGGUGAGUAACACGUGGAUAACCUACCUAUAAGACUGGGAUAACUUCGGGAAACCGGAGCUAAUACCGGAUAAUAUAUUGAACCGCAUGGUUCAAUAGUGAAAGACGGUUUUGCUGUCACUUGUAGAUGGAUCCGCGCCGCAUUAGCUAGUUGGUAAGGUAACGGCUUACCAAGGCAACGAUGCGUAGCCGACCUGAGAGGGUGAUCGGCCACACUGGAACUGAGACACGGUCCAGACUCCUACGGGAGGCAGCAGUAGGGAAUCUUCCGCAAUGGGCGAAAGCCUGACGGAGCAACGCCGCGUGAGUGAUGAAGGUCUUCGGAUCGUAAAACUCUGUUAUUAGGGAAGAACAAAUGUGUAAGUAACUAUGCACGUCUUGACGGUACCUAAUCAGAAAGCCACGGCUAACUACGUG